ACGAACGCUGGCGGCGUGCUUAACACAUGCAAGUCGAACGAUGAUGCUCCAGCUUGCUGGGGUUGAUUAGUGGCGAACGGGUGAGUAACACGUGAGUAACCUGCCCCCCUCUUUGGGAUAACCUCGGGAAAUCGGGGCUAAUACCGGAUAUUCUGAUUCUGCCGCAUGGUGGGGUUUGGAAAGAUUUAUCGGUGGGGGAUGGACUCGCGGCCUAUCAGUUUGUUGGUGGGGUAGUGGCCUACCAAGACUACGACGGGUAGCCGGCCUGAGAGGGCGACCGGCCACACUGGGACUGAGAUACGGCCCAGACUCCUACGGGAGGCAGCAGUGGGGAAUAUUGCACAAUGGGCGAAAGCCUGAUGCAGCGACGCCGCGUGGAGGAUGAAGGCCUUCGGGUUGUAAACUCCUUUCAGUAGGGAAGAAGCGAAAGUGACGGUACCUGCAGAAGAAGCGCCGGCUAACUACGUGCCAGCAGCCGCGGUAAUACGUAGGGCGCAAGCGUUGUCCGGAAUUAUUGGGCGUAAAGAGCUCGUAGGCGGUUGGUCGCGUCUGCUGUGAAAACCCGAGGCUCAACUUCGGGCUUGCAGUGGGUACGGGCCAUCUAGAGUGCGGUAGGGGAGACUGGAAUUCCUGGUGUAGCGGUGGAAUGCGCAGAUAUCAGGAGGAACACCGAUGGCGAAGGCAGGUCUCUGGGCCGCUACUGACGCUGAGGAGCGAAAGCAUGGGGAGCGAACAGGAUUAGAUACCCUGGUAGUCCAUGCCGUAAACGUUGGGCACUAGGUGUGGGGCUCAUUCCACGAGUUCCGUGCCGCAGCUAACGCAUUAAGUGCCCCGCCUGGGGAGUACGGCCGCAAGGCUAAAACUCAAAGGAAUUGACGGGGGCCCGCACAAGCGGCGGAGCAUGCGGAUUAAUUCGAUGCAACGCGAAGAACCUUACCAAGGCUUGACAUAUACAGGAAACAUGCAGAGAUGUGUGCCCCUUUUAGGUCUGUAUACAGGUGGUGCAUGGUUGUCGUCAGCUCGUGUCGUGAGAUGUUGGGUUAAGUCCCGCAACGAGCGCAACCCUCGUCCUAUGUUGCCAGCACGUUAUGGUGGGGACUCAUGGGAGACUGCCGGGGUCAACUCGGAGGAAGGUGGGGAUGACGUCAAAUCAUCAUGCCCCUUAUGUCUUGGGCUUCACGCAUGCUACAAUGGCCGGUACAAACCGUUGCGAUACCGUGAGGUGGAGCGAAUCGGAAAAAGCCGGUCUCAGUUCGGAUUGGGGUCUGCAACUCGACCCCAUGAAGUCGGAGUCGCUAGUAAUCGCAGAUCAGCAACGCUGCGGUGAAUACGUUCCCGGGCCUUGUACACACCGC
rnacentral:rRNA from 1 species